UAGAUAUAAAAUGGUUUUUAUAGAGUGGUUGCUUAUUUGUUUGAUUGAAUUUUUUCUUUCACUAGAAUGAAUUGACAGAUUCAGAAUGUUUGAUGGGUGUUACAAUUAAUGAAUUGACAGACUCAGAAUGUUUGAGGGCAUAUGAAGAAUGGGUGGACGAUCAAGCAUUCGCUGAUCACACUAUUCCUGCAGAAUCCCAGGGGUCCCAGCAUAACAUGACCCCUCAGCCUUCCACAAGCCGCACAGCACAAAGUCCGCUAGGAGGUAUAAUAUCUCACAUUUUAUCCAACUAUAACUCUAUUAGUAUUAUUUUUUA